rnacentral:rRNA from 1 species
UGGGGAAUUUUGGACAAUGGGGGAAACCCUGAUCCAGCCAUUCCGCGUGAGUGAAGAAGGCCUUCGGGUUGUAAAGCUCUUUCGGCAGGGAAGAAACGCUCUGGCUUAAUACGCCGGGGUAAUGACGGUACCUGAAGAAGAAGCACCGGCUAACUACGUGCCAGCAGCCGCGGUAAUACGUAGGGUGCGAGCGUUAAUCGGAAUUACUGGGCGUAAAGCGUGCGCAGGCGGUUUUGUAAGACAGGUGUGAAAUCCCCGGGCUUAACCUGGGAACUGCGCUUGUGACUGCAAGACUCGAGUACGGCAGAGGGGGGUGGAAUUCCACGUGUAGCAGUGAAAUGCGUAGAGAUGUGGAGGAACACCGAUGGCGAAGGCAGCCCCCUGGGUCGAUACUGACGCU